GCCCGCUUGGCUUAGUGGUACAGCGUCUCACUCGUAAUGAGAAGAUCCUCGGUUGUAAGUGUGCUUGUAACUUAGUAACUGCGUUGAAGUUUGAGGAUAGGUGCUAAUAAAAAGGUAAAUAGCGAUUCCGAGAGUGGGCA
rnacentral:tRNA from 1 species